rnacentral:rRNA from 1 species
GAUGAACGCUGGCGGCGUGCCUAAUACAUGCAAGUCGAGCGAACAGACGAGGAGCUUGCUCCUCUGACGUUAGCGGCGGACGGGUGAGUAACACGUGGAUAACCUACCUAUCAGACUGGGAUAACUUCGGGAAACCGGAGCUAAUACCGGAUAAUAUAUUGAACCGCAUGGUUCAAUAGUGAAAGACGGUUUUGCUGUCACUUAUAGAUGGAUCCGCGCCGCAUUAGCUAGUUGGUAAGGUAACGGCUUACCAAGGCAACGAUGCGUAGCCGACCUGAGAGGGUGAUCGGCCACACGGGAACGGAGACCCGGUCCAGACUCCUACGGGAGGCACAAGUGGGGAAUCUUCCGCAAUGGGCGAAAGCCUGACGGAGAAACGCCGGGGGGGUGAUGAAGGUCUUCGGAUCGUAAACCUCUGUUAUUAGGGAAAAACAGAUGUGUAAGAAAAUAUGCACGUAUUGACGGUACCUAAUCAGAAAGCCACGGCUAACUACGUG